CGAGAAUAAGUCAACUAUCCUCUCUUUUCAUCUAUUAUUUUUAAGAUAUUUUGAAUCAAUUAUAGGUAAGAACCAUUCAACCUUUCAACCCUAUCCAUCAGCUAAAUGCCACGGAGUGCGCUAUCCGAACGAGAGUCGGAGGGCGGUUGACCGGUUGAAUUGAUGACAGCCAAGUAGACUUGGCUUUCACGAACGGGUG
rnacentral:lncRNA from 1 species